AGAUCAACAGCAAAAUUAACAAUGAAAAAUAUCUCCGGACUCACACCGAAAUUGAGGUGCUGCUGUCGGGAUUUCUCAGAGAUGUCUUGAUGAAAAGGCCGGAGAAUAUACGAGAAUUUGCGGCAGACUAUUUCACCAACCCAGAGCUGCCGAAGAAGAUCCAGCAACAGAUGAUGGAGAAGCUAAACCAGGCUACUUAGGGAUCCCCUCGGACCGAGUUCCUGCUUUGGGGCUGCCUGAAAAUUUAAAGGGGCCCCUCUUCUCACCCCCCCAAAUUAUUAUAUUUCUUGGAAUCUCCUUCCUUCCCUCAGUUGUCAAUAAACCCACAAAAUG